rnacentral:misc_RNA from 1 species
GAUGAAGAACGUAGCGAAAUGCGAUAAGUAGUGUGAAUUGCAGAAUUCAGUGAAUCAUCGAAUCUUUGAACGCACAUUGCGCCCCUUGGUAUUCCAUGGGGCAUGCCUGUUCGAGCGUCAUUUGUACCUUCAAGCUUUGCUUGGUGUUGGGUGUUUGUCCCGAGGGACUCGCCUUAAAGUAAUUGGCAGCCAGUGUUUGGUUUUGAAGCGCAGCACAAGUCGCGAUUCAAGGCUACACGCCCGCUUCCACAAGCCUUUUUUCACUUUUGACCUCGGAUCAGGUAGGGAUACCAGCUGAACUUAAGCAUAUCAAUAAGCGGAGGA